UGGAUGAACGCUAGCUACAGGCUUAACACAUGCAAGUCGAGGGGCAGCAUGGUCUUAGCUUGCUAAGGCCGAUGGCGACCGGCGCACGGGUGAGUAACACGUAUCCAACCUGCCGUCUACUCUUGGACAGCCUUCUGAAAGGAAGAUUAAUACAAGAUGGCAUCAUGAGUCCGCAUGUUCACAUGAUUAAAGGUAUUCCGGUAGACGAUGGGGAUGCGUUCCAUUAGAUAGUAGGCGGGGUAACGGCCCACCUAGUCUUCGAUGGAUAGGGGUUCUGAGAGGAAGGUCCCCCACAUUGGAACUGAGACACGGUCCAAACUCCUACGGGAGGCAGCAGUGAGGAAUAUUGGUCAAUGGGCGAGAGCCUGAACCAGCCAAGUAGCGUGAAGGAUGACUGCCCUAUGGGUUGUAAACUUCUUUUAUAAAGGAAUAAAGUCGGGUAUGGAUACCCGUUUGCAUGUACUUUAUGAAUAAGGAUCGGCUAACUCCGUGCCAGCAGCCGCGGUAAUACGGAGGAUCCGAGCGUUAUCCGGAUUUAUUGGGUUUAAAGGGAGCGUAGAUGGAUGUUUAAGUCAGUUGUGAAAGUUUGCGGCUCAACCGUAAAAUUGCAGUUGAUACUGGAUAUCUUGAGUGCAGUUGAGGCAGGCGGAAUUCGUGGUGUAGCGGUGAAAUGCUUAGAUAUCACGAAGAACUCCGAUUGCGAAGGCAGCCUGCUAAGCUGCAACUGACAUUGAGGCUCGAAAGUGUGGGUAUCAAACAGGAUUAGAUACCCUGGUAGUCCACACGGUAAACGAUGAAUACUCGCUGUUUGCGAUAUACUGCAAGCGGCCAAGCGAAAGCGUUAAGUAUUCCACCUGGGGAGUACGCCGGCAACGGUGAAACUCAAAGGAAUUGACGGGGGCCCGCACAAGCGGAGGAACAUGUGGUUUAAUUCGAUGAUACGCGAGGAACCUUACCCGGGCUUAAAUUGCAGAUGAAUUACGGUGAAAGCCGUAAGCCGCAAGGCAUCUGUGAAGGUGCUGCAUGGUUGUCGUCAGCUCGUGCCGUGAGGUGUCGGCUUAAGUGCCAUAACGAGCGCAACCCUUGUUGUCAGUUACUAACAGGUUCCGCUGAGGACUCUGACAAGACUGCCAUCGUAAGAUGUGAGGAAGGUGGGGAUGACGUCAAAUCAGCACGGCCCUUACGUCCGGGGCUACACACGUGUUACAAUGGGGGGUACAGAGGGCCGCUACCACGCGAGUGGAUGCCAAUCCCCAAAACCUCUCUCAGUUCGGACUGGAGUCUGCAACCCGACUCCACGAAGCUGGAUUCGCUAGUAAUCGCGCAUCAGCCACGGCGCGGUGAAUACGUUCCCGGGCCUUGUACACACCGCCCGUCAAGCCAUGGGAGCCGGGGGUACCUGAAGUGCGUAACCGCGAGGAGCGCCCUAGGGUAAAACU
rnacentral:rRNA from 1 species